ensembl:lncRNA
UUUUUUUCUUUUUUGGCUCUCUCUUGGUAUGUGGAGUGCCUGGACCAGGGAUCAGAUCCCAGGUGCCGUUACAGCCUAUGCCUUGCCUGUGGCAAUGCCAGGGAUCAGAUCAAACCUGCGUCCCUGUGCUGCAGAGACGCUGCCAAACCCAUUGAGCCUCAGCAGAAACUCCUGGACCCUGAUUUUUGUUUGUUUGUUUGUUUUGCAUUUUUUAAGGACUGUACCCAUCACAUAUGGAAGUUCCCAGGUUAGGGGUCAAAUCAGAGCUACAGCUGCCCGCCUACCCCAUAGCCACAGCAACUCAGGAUCCAAGCCACAUCUGCGACCUCCACCACAGCUCACUGCCAUGACGGAUCCUUAACCCACUGAGCAAGGCCAGGGAUCAAACCCACAUCCUCAUGGAUACUAGUCGGAUUCAUUUUCGCUGUGCCACAGGAACUCCCCUGGACCCUGAUUUUGAUAGCAUGUUUUCGCAUAAAGCACUUGUGUUGAGUACCAAACUUUUUUCUUCCAAACAAUAUGAAAGCAAAUCCACCCGAGGGGCCUUUUUUAAAAAAAUAAACUUUAUUUUUUUUGAGUAGUUUUAGGUUUAUGGCAAAAUGGAACAUAAAGUCCAAAGAGCUCCCAUUUGCCUCCAUCUCCUCACACUCACAGCCUUCCCCAGCAAAGUGGGACAUGGCUGCAACCUCUGAACCUACACCGUCAUUAUCUCCCCAAGGCCACGGUCUACAUCAGGAUUCACUUUGGUACAUCUAUGGGUGUUGACAAAUGUGUAAUGACACAAGUCACCAUGAUCACAUCACGCAGAGCAGGUCCACUGCCCAAAAAAUCCUCUGUGUUCCCCCCUCUCCAUCUCUCCCCUCCCCUCUAACUCCUGGCACCUGCUCAUCUAAAGUGAGUUUUCCCUUUUCCAGAAAGUUAUACAGUUGGAAUCAGACAGUAUGUAGUCUCUUCAGGUGAUGCUUUCUGAAUUCGCAAAUAAGCGCCCACAGUAGUGUUGUCUAGAGAAACAGGAAAGAGGUUCAAAUGCAGAAAACUGCAGGUUUCAUCGCAGAUUCUACCGCUGAUGGCUCCAAGGCCACAUUUCUAGGUAGGAACCUUGCUUCAGUUUCUCUGUGUAUGUCAGUGUUAUUUCCAAUGCAAGGUCCCUCACUGAAUGUUGAACAAUUCCAUUCUCAGGUCUCAGAAAAAAUGGCAAAUCUUCCAUCAUCACUUUAUUUUUUUUUUCUGUCAUCAACUUUAGAGUUGUAGAAUCUAGGAUGGUCCCUUGCAUCACAGCAGGUUAAGGAUCUGGCAGGCAUUGUCACUGUUGUGGCUUGGGUCACUGCUAUGGCACGCGUUCAAUCCCUGGUCCAGGAAUGUCCACAUGCCACUGGUGUGGCCAAAAAUAGUAACAGAAAUUGUAUAAUCUUUCGAUUUUAUCAUCUUUCAAUAGUUGUAAUUUUAAAGUGUAAAACAAAAGAGCCAAACUGUAUCUUAUCUUCCUUUUCCAUAAAAUAAAUUGUGAAAUAUCCUAUAAAAUGACAGGGAAUUACAACCAAAAAAAAGUUGAAGCCUUCUCAGCUGAAGGCCAGACAACCACCUUCCCCCCAAAUCCAUUCUGAAUUUCUGACCCACAGAAUCCCUGAGCGUAAUGAAAAAGCUAUUUUUAAAGACUGGGUUUGGGAAUAAUUUACUCUAUAGCCCAAGACAACUGGAAAAUUUUCCUAAUAGUUUCGAGGGUGUCAAGAUAGGGAAAAUGGUAAGAUGUUGAAUUCAGAGUUUUGUUUUUGUUUUUUGCUUUUUAGGGCUGCACCUGCAGCAUAUCGAAGUUCUCAUGCUAGGGGUCAAAUCAGAGCUGCGGCUGCCAGCCUACACCACAGCCACAGCAAUAUGGGAUCCAAGCCACAUCUGCAACCUACACCACAGCUCACAGCAAUGCUGGAGCCUUGACCCACUGAGUGAGGCCAGGGAUCGAAUCCACAUCCUCAUGGCUAUGGUCCGGUUCGUUAACCACUGAGCCACAGAGGGAACUCUGAAAUCAAGGUUUUGGAAGCACUGACCAGGACCACAUUCCCAAGGAAGGCAGUGCUAAACAGAGAACAGGACAGCACUGAGCUAAGUGUAUGGCUGUUUGAUGCCCCGGCAAACCAGCCAGUCUAUUCUAAAGAUCUGAUAUGAAACCAAAACUCCAAGCCCACUGCGGGAUUCCAAAAAACACUCUCUUGUGGAAUUUUCUGUUCCUUUCAACAAUCAACGCGUGAAGAUAUUUACGUACACCUCUUAUUUUUCUAAAGGCACGUGGCUCCAUGAGUUUAGAUGUUAGCAGUUUGUUAUGGCAUUUCUCACUCUUCUAAGACACAUAUAUUCAGACUCAUCACUGAAAAAUCAUCGAUAUGGUUUUUUUUUUCUAGCAGAAAUUGUUUCUGUUGACACAAUGCAAUUAGCAAGCCAGCAAAGCACUAACUUCACAUGUUAAGUACCACCCUGAGGUCUGCACUUGCCAAAGCCCCCGCGUCUGAAAGCAGCUCUGGGAGUGUUGCUUCCUGAAAUCUUGUAAGAUGGGAUGAAAGUUGGCGAAUUGUAUGCUGAGGUGUUUUUGAUUCAUCAGAGUUCUCUUUCUGCAUGCACUUCCUCCUUCCUUCCUCCCAAGGCAGGCAAUUGCGGCUCCUUGGCAGAGAUUCUGAGAGAGGGAUGCUUGUUCACUCUCUGGUCACAUCAGAUGAUUCAUCAGAAAUUUUCCUCUUUUCUUUCCAGUCUGUAACGAUGAAAACAUGAAACAAAGCAAGGCUAGGUGUAAAAGGGACCUGUCUGUCCCUCUGCUUGGUUUGGGUAUCUUGAGGCUUUGCUUUUCUAAGCAAUGGAAUCCCUCUGACCCUUUCCUUUUCUUUCCUCCCUUUUCAGAAGUUGAGGAUCAGUGCAUCCGUGUAACUGAGCUAAAUGCCAGGCGAGCUCCCUGCUGUGCGGUAGGGGUCCACCCGACACCCAGCCCCUGGCCACAGAGAUUCGAGCUAUUUAAUUUUGGAAAUGACAUUUCUUUACACUUCUUCCAAGAUAGCAAUUUAUGUCAAUCAUCUGAAAACUCUCUUUGCCAAGAACAAUCAAUGGACUUGAAUUUCCCAUUGACAUCGGGGGCGAGAGGGCUAUCUGUCUGACUCCUCUGAGUGGCACUUUUCACUCUCCUAUAGAAAAGUUUACUUCCCAAGGAAUUUUUCUUGUAAUCUCAGACCUAAUCUAACCUUCCUUUCAGAGUGUCAGAGAAAGAGGAAAAUUCUGCAUAGUAUGUCAUUGCCAGGAAGCUUGUCUCUAGUUGACUCACUCGAUCUUGAACUCUUCUGAUCUUAUCCCAGAAAAACUCAGUUGUAACUCAGGGGGAGAUAAAAACCCUGGAGCAUCCAGAUUUAGCAAUGGCAGUGUCUUGGUGCCUCCUAGGAGCAGAUGUGACAAUAACCUAUAAAAUAUCCUCACAUGUAUGAGUUCUAAAAAUCACUGUGUUUGUACAAAUUAAACAAUGUCUUUCUUUCUUAGUAUUGUUAAUGUUAAUAUUAAUAAUUCAUUCAUUCAUUGGAUAGGAUGAGAUUUAAUUCAUGUUUUCCUUCCCAAAUGCAUAAUUGGGGUUCUUUUGUGUGUCACCCACACAAAUCAAAUAUUUGUAUUUAAAGGACACAGAUAAGAUUAACAAUGGGUAUAAUAAAAAAAAUUCUUACAAUAUUUAUUUCCUAUGCUCCAUUUAAAUGGGUGGGUGACCUGAAUAUUUUUAUUUUACUAGUAGUUUAAAAUUCCAUUUUGAGAUGGUAAGAAAAGUUAUUGUCAAGCAAAAGGAGAUGAUGGUCUAGGAUAAAUGGAAGUACGAUUCAAGUCAGAAGGUGAAUGGUAGGAUUUUGUUUAAAAAACUCAUAUUUUAGUGAGUUCCCACUGUGGCACAGUGGGUUAAGGAUCCUGCAUUGCUGCAGCUGUGCAAAAGUUGCACACCCUGGACCUUCCACAUGCUGUGGGUGCGGGGAAAAAAAAAAAAAAAACACCCUUACAUUUUGCUCCCCAACAAGAUCAUUUUGUUUAUUUUGUUUUGUCUUUUUAGGGCCACACCCAUGGCAUAUGGAGGUUCCCAGGCUAGGGGUCGAAUCAGAGCUACAGCUGCCAGCCUACGCCACAGCCACAGCAAUGUAGGAUCUGAGCUGCAUCUGUGACCUACACCACAGCUGGUGACCCCAGACCCUUAGCCCACUGAGCAAGGCAUCCUCAUGGAUCCUAGCCGGAUUCGUUUCUGCUAACAAUGGGAACUCCCUUGUUUGUUUCGGUUUUUAUUUUUUGGCCACGCCAACGGCACAUGGAAGUUCCCAGCCCAGGGAUGGAUACUGUGCCACAGCAGCAACCCAAGAUGCUACAGUGACAAUGCAAGAUUCUUAACCCACUGAGCCACAAGACUACUCCAGAUGUAUAUUUUAGAAAUGAUGGUUUGUGUGUAUGUACACACAAAGUGUAUUUAAAUUUAAAUUCCCAGAGUUCCCGUCAUGGCGCAGCGGUUAACGAAUCCGACGAGGAACCAUGAGGUUGCGGGUUCGAUCCCUGGCCUCACUCAGUGGGUUAAAGAUCCGGCGUUGCCGUGAGCUGUGAUGUAGGUUGUAGACGCGGCUCAGAUCCUGAGUUGCUGUGGCUCUGGCGUAGGCCGGUGGCUACAGCUCCGAUUCGACCCCUAGCCUGGGAACCUCCAUAUGCCAUGGUUGUGGCCCAAGAAAUGGCAAAAAAAAAAAAAAAAAAAAAAAAAGACAAAAAAAUAAAUAAAUAAAUAAAUUUAAAUUCCCAGGCCAAGCUAUGGCCAUGCCCAUAUUAUUCAAAUCAGUCUCUCUGUCUCUUCAAAAGAAGACUA